rnacentral:rRNA from 1 species
AUUGAACGCUGGCGGCAGGCCUAACACAUGCAAGUCGAGCGAACGGCGGACGGGUGAGUAAUGUCUGGGAAACUGCCUGAUGGAGGGGGAUAACUACUGGAAACGGUAGCUAAUACCGCAUACCAUUAACUGUGGCCAGGUGGGAUUGGCUAGUAGGUGGGGUAAUGGCUCACCUGGGCGACGUUCCCUAGCUGGUCUGAGAGGAUGACCGGCACCACUGGAACUGAGACACGGUCCAAGCUCCUACGGGGGGCAGCGGUGGGAAUUUUUGCAAAAUGGGCGCAGUCCUGAUGCUGCCAUGCGGCGUGGGUUAUGAGGGCCUUCGGGUUUUAAAGCACUGUCAGCGGGGAGGCGUUACCCGCAGAGAAAGCACCGGCUAACUCCGUGCCAGCAGCCGCGGUAAUUC